GGCGCGUAGCUCAGUUGGUUAGAGCGCUACCUUGACACGGUAGGACAUACCGAAAUAUGAGAUUCCGGUACGUUGUUCUCCA
rnacentral:tRNA from 1 species